rnacentral:rRNA from 1 species
CCUACGGGGGGCAGCAGUGAGGAAUAUUGGUCAAUGGGCGGGAGCCUGAACCAGCCAAGUCGCGUGAGGGACGACGGUCCUAUGGAUUGUAAACCUCUUUUGUCGGGGAACAAAGGCGUCCACGGGUGGGCGGAUGAGUGUACCCGAAGAAAAAGCAUCGGCUAACUCCGUGCCAGCAGCCGCGGUAAUACGGAGGAUGCGAGCGUUAUCCGGAUUUACUGGGUGUAAAGGGAGCGUAGACGGCAGCGCAAGUCUGAAGUGAAAUGCCGGGGCUUAACCCCGGAACUGCUUUGGAAACUGUGCAG